rnacentral:rRNA from 1 species
UACGUAGGGUGCAAGCGUUAAUCGGAAUUACUGGGCGUAAAGCGUGCGCAGGCGGUUUUGUAAGUCUGUCGUGAAAUCCCCGGUCUCAACCUGGGAAUUGCGAUGGAGACUGCAAGGCUAGAAUCUGGCAGAGGGGGGUAGAAUUCCACGUGUAGCAGUGAAAUGCGUAGAGAUGUGGAGGAACACCGAUGGCGAAGGCAGCCCCCUGGGUCAAGAUUGACGCUCAUGCACGAAAGCGUGGGGAGCAAACAGG